rnacentral:rRNA from 1 species
AUGAACGCUGGCGGCGUGCCUAAUACCUGCAAGUCGAGCGCACAGACGAGGAGCUUGCUCCUCUGACGUUAGCGGCGGACGGAUGAGUAACACGUGGAUAACCUACCUAUAAGACUGGGAUAACUUCGGGAAACCGGAGCUAAUACCGGAUAAUAUAUUGAACCGCAUGGUUCAAUAGUGAAAGACGGUUUUGCUGUCACUUAUAGAUGGAUCCGCGCCGCAUUAGCUAGUUGGUAAGGUAACGGCUUACCAAGGCAACGAUGCGUAGCCGACCUGAGAGGGUGAUCGGCCACACUGGAACUGAGACACGGUCCAGACUCCUACGGGAGGCAGCAGUAGGGAAUCUUCCGCAAUGGGCGAAAGCCUGACGGAGCAACGCCGCGUGAGUGAUGAAGGUCUUCGGAUCGUAAAACUCUGUUAUUAGGGAAGAACAAAUGUGUAAGUAACUAUGCACGUCUUGACGGUACCUAAUCAGAAAGCCACGGCUAACUACGUG